UCUAUGGUUCCAGAUCUCUUUCCUAGGGUUUCUAUCUCCAGCGUUGCCUCGGUUUGGGUUUUCUUUAUUGUGUCUACUUCCCUUUUUUGGUCUAGUAUGGUUUUGUUCAUUUCCAUCACCUGUUUGGAUGUGUUUUCCUGUUUUUCUAUAAGGACUUCUACCUGUUUGGUUGUGUUUUCCUGUUUUUCUAUAAGGACUUGUAACUCUUUAGCAGUGUUCUCCUGUAUUUCUUUAAGUGAGUUAUUAAAGUCCUUCUUGAUGUCCUCUACCAUCAUCAUGAGAUAUGCUUUUAAAUCCGGGUCUAGCUUUUCGGUUGUGUUGGGGUGCCCAGGAUUAGGUGGCAUGGGAGUGCUGUGUUCUGAUGAUGGUGAACGAUCUUGAUUUCUGUUAGUAGGAUUCUUACGUUUGCCUUUUGCCAUCUUGUAUUCUCUGGAGCUAGUUGUUAUAGUUGUCUCUGGUUAGAGCUUGUUCCUCAGGUGAUUAUGUUAGCCUCUGUCAGCAGACCUGGGAGACUAGCUCUAUCCUUAGUUUCAGUGGUCAGAGUACUUUCUGCAUGCAAGCUCUCCUCUUGCAGAGAUGGUGCCCAGAUAUCUGGUGUUUGAACCUGCCUCCUAGCAGAAGUUGUGUUCCACUCACCAGAGGACUUAGGAUCCUGUGUGGGUCCUUGUGGGUGUCCGGAGACUCCCCCGGGCCAGGGACCACGGUGCUGCAGUGGGCCGGCCAGAAGGGACUUGAGCCGUUUGGAAUAUUUCUAGUCUUUCAGAUCUAGAAGUCUUUACAUAGACUCUACUGGUUAAGCAUCUCUAAUCUAAAGCAUUCCAAACUCUGAAAGUGCUUGAGCAUCAUGUCAGAUGAAGGAUGCUGGGUCUGGAGAUGGAUGAAUCUGAGAGUAAGUAAAUGAAUAAUACUUCUUCUAUGAGGAAUUCCCCAUCCAUCACUUACUGAGUGGCAAACUCUUGUUGAUUUGGAAAUGUCCUCAUUAAAUAGGAUAGUUUUGCUGGGUUAGGUAUAGAAUGUCCCAAACUAUAGCUUCUGGGAUGGUGACCUAGCUUGGAGGCCUCAAGAUGCUAUCUCUGCAUCUGGAAAAAAAAUAGCCCAGAGGCCCUGAAACAGCAAAGCACGUGUUCUUGUCUGUAUUAGCUUGCAUUAUCCGUACAAGUUAGCUCUGUGACAGCCUAGCUUUCUGUAGAUUUCCUGGUUCGAUGACAGUUUUCCAGUACCUGCUCUGCAUGCUUUCGCAUGUCUGCCUUUGUUCACAGACCCUACUCAUCCUUCAGUUAGCUCACUGGUUUGUCCAUGACUUUUGGCUUUUGCCCAGAGUAAGAGAUGCUGCAAGAAUUCUUUCUGUGAUCAUGUGUAUUCCAAAUCGCGAUUGUAGCCUGAAGUCCCAUGUUUGCACAUCUCUUAGCCAUUUCUGUAUCUAUUUUCACAACUGAUGACUGUGGUCUCUAUCCCAGAGUUAUGUUGGGACCAUGUGAGGAGCAACAGUGAAACAUUAAUGUAUGUCUUAGAGGGGUGAAGAGUGGUAGCUGACUGAAGGGUGGCUGAGUGUGUGUGCACACACAUGUGCGUGUGUGUGUGUAUGUGUGUGUGUUUAUGUGUGUGUGCAAUAGUAAUUAAAGAUUGCAUUUUGGAGUUUUACUGCCUCUGGUAGUAAUCUUCCAGAUAAUGAAUUCAGCCUGGAAACAAACAUUCUUAUAAACAUUGUUUUUGCUAUCUCUUUUACUACUCUUUGUGUUAAAGACUGAACUCUGCUAUUUAACUGCUUAUGUGAUUUCUGUCUGACACCUUGGACAGUGUGGCCAAGGCUUCUUAUCAAACAGCUUCUUGUUUUGUUUGGUUGCUGGGACUCUAAAGAGUGCAGAGCUUACAUAGCCCAGAGAUCUUCAAGAACAGGAUGUUUAGAUUCAAGCCCAGAAGUUCUGACCCACUGCUCUGUCAGUCAAAUCCUGUGGAAACCUUCCUCGAGUAGAUGUGGGGUGUGCCAGGGAUGAGAGGUUCAGAGGAACGGAAAGGACAGAUCGGGCUCAGCAACGAGGCAAGUGGAAAGCUGUGAUAUUCUGUUUUGUACUGACAAUCUACAUAGGCCUGACUUUUGAAAGAUCAUUUAAUUUCUUUGGUAUGUAAAUGGAAUAACAGUCAAUCUAAAACGUAGAAAACAUUAAUCAAUGCCUUGGAGACUGAAUUGUAUCCCCUCCCAAAUCCUCAAGGUCUAAAUGCAGGCCUUCGGAAUGAGGCUGUAUUGGGAGAGGAGAUUAAGAGGGCAUGAGGCCCUGUGCAGAGGCCCCAUUAGCAUCAGUGCCUUCUCUCUAAGAGGAGAUUAGCAUAUGGGUCUGCUUACCCAGGAGGACAAGAGGAGUCAGGAGAGCUCAGCAUGCAGACACCUGGCUCGCAGAGGCCAGAAGAAAAUAAAUGUGUUUACUACC
rnacentral:lncRNA from 1 species